rnacentral:tRNA from 1 species
CCCUGGUUGCUCAGAUGGUAAAGAAUCUGCCUGCCGUGCUGAAGACCCAGGUUUGAUCCCUGGAUCAGGAA